rnacentral:tRNA from 1 species
AAAUAAGAAGCAAUAAAUUGCAUUUAGUUUCGACCUAAAAGUUAGGUGUUUCAUACCCUUAUUUA